rnacentral:rRNA from 1 species
GAUGAACGCUGGCGGCGUGCCUAAUACAUGCAAGUCGAGCGAACAGACGAGGAGCUUGCUCCUCUGACGUUAGCGGCGGACGGGUGAGUAACACGUGGAUAACCUACCUAUAAGACUGGGAUAACUUCGGGAAACCGGAGCUAAUACCGGAUAAUAUAUUGAACCGCAUGGUUCAAUAGUGAAAGACGGUUUUGCUGUCACUUAUAGAUGGAUCCGCGCCGCAUUAGCUAGUUGGUAAGGUAACGGCUUACCAAGGCAACGAUGCGUAGCCGACCGGAGAGGGUGAUCGGCCACACGGGAACUGAGACACGGUCCAGACUCCUACGGGAGGCAGCAGUAGGGAAUCUUCCGCAAUGGGCGAAAGCUUGACGGAGCAACGCCGCGUGAGUGAUGAAGGUCUUCGGAUCGUAAAACUCUGUUAUUAGGGAAGAACAAAUGUGUAAGUAACUAUGCACGUCUUGACGGUACCUAAUCAGAAAGCCACGGCUAACUACGUG